GUGGGGAAUAUUGGGCAAUGGGGGCAACCCUGACCCAGCGACGCCGCGUGAGGGAAGAAGGCCUUAGGGUCGUAAACCUCUGUUGUGUGGGAAGAAGGAAGUGACGGUACCACACGAGGAAGUCCCGGCUAACUACGUGCCAGCAGCCGCGGUAAUACGUAGCGGACGAGCGUUGUCCGGAAUUACUGGGCGUAAAGGGCGCGUAGGCGGUCAUUUAAGUCAGCUGUGAAAUGGUCCGGCUCAACCGGAUCAUGCGGUUGAAACUGGAUGACUGGAGUGCUGGAGAAGCAAGUGGAAUUCCCAGUGUAGCGGUGAAAUGCGUAGAUAUUGGGAAGAACACCGGUGGCGAAGGCGACUUGCUGGCCAGCAACUGACGCUGAGGCGCGAAAGCCAGGGGAGCAAACGGGAUUAGAUACCCUGGUAGUCC
rnacentral:rRNA from 1 species